rnacentral:rRNA from 1 species
UACGGAGGGAGCUAGCGUUGUCCGGAUUUAUUGGGUUUAAAGGGUGCGUAGGCGGCCCGUUAAGUCAGUGGUGAAAGCCUCCAGCUCAACUGGGGAACUGCCAUUGAUACUGGCGGGCUUGAGUACAGAAGAGGUAGGCGGAAUUGAUUGUGUAGCGGUGAAAUGCAUAGAUACAAUCAAGAACACCGAUUGCGUAGGCAGCUUACUAGGCUGUAACUGACGCUGAGGCACGAAAGCGUGGGGAGCGAACAGG